GCUUCAGCAACACACACACUAAACUGGAACAAGACAGAGAAGAUUAGCAUGGCCUCUGCACAUGCAUUUGUGAAGCAUUCUAUGUUCUU
rnacentral:snRNA from 1 species